rnacentral:rRNA from 1 species
UACGAAGGGGGCUAGCGUUGUUCGGAAUUACUGGGCGUAAAGCGCGCGCAGGCGGCUAUCCAAGUCAGUGGUGAAAGCCCGGAGUUCAACUCCGGAACUGCCAUUGAAACUGUUUAGCUUGAGUAUGAGAGAGGUGAGUGGAAUUCCCAGUGUAGAGGUGAAAUUCGUAGAUAUUGGGAAGAACACCGGUGGCGAAGGCGGCUCACUGGCUCAUUACUGACGCUCAGGCGCGACAGCGUGGGGAUCAAACAGG